GACGAACGCUGGCGGCGCGCCUAACACAUGCAAGUCGAACGGAGCUUAGAGAGCUUGCUUUUUAAGCUUAGUGGCGAACGGGUGAGUAACGCGUGAGUAACCUGCCCUAGAGAGGGGGACAACAGUUGGAAACGACUGCUAAUACCGCAUAAGCCCACGGUGCCGCAUGGCACUGAGGGAAAAGGAUUUAUUCGCUUUAGGAUGGACUCGCGUCCAAUUAGCUAGUUGGUGAGGUAACGGCCCACCAAGGCGACGAUUGGUAGCCGGACUGAGAGGUUGAACGGCCACAUUGGGACUGAGACACGGCCCAGACUCCUACGGGAGGCAGCAGUGGGGGAUAUUGCACAAUGGGGGAAACCCUGAUGCAGCGACGCCGCGUGGAGGAAGAAGGUUUUCGGAUUGUAAACUCCUGUCGUUAGGGACGAUAAUGACGGUACCUAACAAGAAAGCACCGGCUAACUACGUGCCAGCAGCCGCGGUAAAACGUAGGGUGCAAGCGUUGUCCGGAAUUACUGGGUGUAAAGGGAGCGCAGGUGGGAAGACAAGUUGGAAGUGAAAACCAUGGGCUCAACCCAUGAAUUGCUUUCAAAACUGUUUUUCUUGAGUAGUGCAGAGGUAGAUGGAAUUCCCGGUGUAGCGGUGGAAUGCGUAGAUAUCGGGAGGAACACCAGUGGCGAAGGCGGUCUACUGGGCACCAACUGACGCUGAGGCUCGAAAGCAUGGGUAGCAAACAAGAUUAGAUACCCUGGUAGUCCAUGCCGUAAA
rnacentral:rRNA from 1 species